GGCGUUGGCUUCCGUGCGGUCGUGAUGUUUGCGGUUGUCCUUGGGAUUAUCCGUUGACCCCCGUUCGGUGCGGUAUGUCUGACGACCUCCGCGUGCACUUCUCCCCUAAUAAAACGUCCCGACCCCCUGGGUGUCGGUCUACCAACUGGAAUGGUGACUGGACCGUCCUUUCCGCCAACGGGGGCAGGGAUCCCGUUAUCCCUGACCGGCUGCCCCGCGGUACCCCCACGGGAUCCAGCCCCAAUUGAACUGGGUUCAAACCCCUCCCAAGUUAAUGCCCUAUUCCGGGGUUCCGACCUAGUGGCCUCCCUGGAUCCUUUGGCCUACUGGUGGCCAAAGGGGUUCUCCAACUGGCUUAAAACAAAUUUAAAUGUGAUACCGGUCGGCGACGCUUUUGCUUUGGGUACUUUCAGGACCCGUCUUGAAACACGGACCAAGGAGUCUAACAUGUGCGCGAGUCAUUGGGACCAAAAGCCUAAAGGCGCAUUGAAAGAGAAGGUCGACCUCGCGUCGACUGAGGGAGGAUGGGCCGCGUCAUGAUGCGGCCUCGCACUCCCGGGGCGUCUCGUACUCAUUGCGAGUUGAGGCGCACCCAGAGCGUACACGUUGGGACCCGAAAGAUGGUGAACUAUGCCUGGUCAGGAUGAAGUCAGGGGAAACCCUGAUGGAGGUCCGUAGCGAUUCUGACGUGCAAAUCGAUCGUUUGUAGCUGGU
rnacentral:rRNA from 1 species